AUUGAACGCUGGCGGCAUGCUUUACACAUGCAAGUCGAACGGUAACAGGGUGCUUGCACCGCUGACGAGUGGCGAACGGGUGAGUAAUGCGUCGGAACGUGCCGAGUAGUGGGGGAUAACGCAGCGAAAGUUGUGCUAAUACCGCAUACGUACUGAGGUAGAAAGUGGGGGACCUUCGGGCCUCACGCUAUUCGAGCGGCCGACGGCUGAUUAGCUAGUAGGUGAGGUAAAGGCUCACCUAGGCGACGAUCAGUAGCGGGUCGGAGGGGAUGGUCCGCCACACGGGGACUGCGACCCGGCCCAGACUCCUACGGGAGGCAGCAGUGGGGAAUUUUGGACAAUGGGCGAAAGCCUGAUCCAGCCAUGCCGCGUGUCUGAAGAAGGCCUUCGGGUUGUAAAGGACUUUUGUCGGGGAGGAAAUCCCCAGCGUUAAUACCGCUGGGGGAUGACAGUACCUGAAGAAUAAGCACCGGCUAACUACGUGCCAGCAGCCGCAGUAACAC
rnacentral:rRNA from 1 species